rnacentral:lncRNA from 1 species
AUGGUUCUGGUUUGGUUACGUAAGGGGCAAGCACGUCACUUCUCUCCAUGUGUGUGCCUUGUAUUCCAUACUUCGGAGAUGAAGUCUUUUCCUGCUUGCCUUGCUCCCCUCCAGCAGAGUUCAGAGGGCCACCUUUCCCUGCUUUCCAUGUUUAUUAGAACUGUUGGGAAGCUGGGAUCUGUUUGCUUUUAUUCAGCAGAGCUUACCAGAAUGAUUGUGGCCCAGUUUAGCUUGUUGGUGGAGAUGGCCUUAGAUUUCAGAUGGAGCCUGCUCACAGUGGAAGCAAAGAUCCUUAUUUCAGGGCUUAGGGUCAGUUCAGGCAAUUUAAGGAAAGUAAACCCUGCUUUUACUUAUGAAGCAAGAGAGAAAGGAAGAAAGGAAAGAAGAAAGGAAGAAGGAAAUAAAAGAAGAAAGACAGGAAGAAAGAAAGAAGGGAGGGAGGGAGGAAGAAAGAAAGGAAGGAAGAAGGAAGAGAGAAAGAAGGAAGGAAGGGAAGGAGGGAGGAAGAAAGGAAGGAAGAAAGAAGGAAGAAGGAAAGAAAAGAAGAAAGGAAGGAAGAAGGAAGGAAGGAAGAAAGGAAGGAAGAAGGAAAUAAAAGAAGAAAGAAAGAAGGAAGGAAAGAGAAAGAAGGAAAAAAGAAAGAUAGAAAAUGAGCCAUUUUUUCCCUCUUUCUCUUCCUUUCCUCUUUGGCUUUUAUCUCGAAUCUUGAGAACUCAUGUAUUUUUGAACCUUUGAGAUGGGGAAGAUGCAUUAGGUGAGUUUAGUGUGAGAACACCAGGCCAGUGGCUGUGGUACCUGGGGCUUGAAGAGUGGGUUUGAUGUUGGGCAUCAGUCUGGGUGUGGACCUGCCAGUGCCCAUGCCCGUUUAGCAUUUUGUCACUAGAUGGCAAUCUUCUCCUUGGAAAGAAGUCCCGCUUUUCUUCGAGCCCCCAUUUUCCCACUGGACUUUUUGUUUUGGGCUCUGGGAAUCUGAUUCAGUUCUUUUCCUUUGUCAAGGGCACCAUUUGUAUCUUUACGGGCAUAUAGCCUGGGAAUUUGGGCUAUGCAGCCGAGGCACAAGAAAUCUUGUACCUAAUCUCAUAGACAGAAGGUUGGGACUCAGAGUGAAGGACUCGCUCAGGGAGCCAGCGUUUGAAGCCAGAUUCCCAGAUCCUGAAUCCAUUGUUUUCUUGGACAAAAAGCCCGGUGCUCUUCUAUUGAGGGGCAGUUUAGGGUCCGCUGGGAGCUGAGCCACUCUUCCAUGGCUAGCUGUGUGCCUUGUGCGAGCCACCUCCCUUCCUGACUGUUUUCUCAUCUGUAAAAUGAGGAGUGGAGACACUUUCAUCUCUAAAACUAGGACCUUGCGGUCUCAUCAGAGGGCUCUCUUGUUCUCUCCUGUGUUGCAGAGCAGAUGACAAGCUCUCCACAGCUUUCAUCCUGUGGGAGUCUGCUCUGUGUCAUGGAAAUUUUAAUUUGAUUUGCAAAUUGUCAGGAUUUGAUGAUGAGUAACUGGUGUUACUGGGGAGACCGUGUGGUACUCUGGGAAUAGCAGUAGUAAUAAUAACAGCUGACAUUUAUAUACGGGGCAGCAAGAUGGCACCAGAGGGCACUGAGUGCCAGUCUUGGAGUCAGGAAGACUCAUCUUCAUGAAUUCAAGUCUAGUUUCAGAUGCUUCACUAGCUGUGGGACCCUGGACAAGUCACUUCACCCUGUUUGCCUCAGUUUCCUCAUCUGUAAAAUGAGCUGGGGAAGGAAA